rnacentral:rRNA from 1 species
CAUGUAGGUGGUUUGUUAAGUUAGGUGUUAAAUUGUUGGGCUCAACCCAACUUCGCACUUAAUACUGAUGAACUUGAGUUUAGGAGAGGAAAGGGGAACUCACAGUGUAGCGGUGAAAUGCGUAGAUAUUGUGAGGAACACCAGUGGCGAAGGCGCCUUUCUGGCCUAAAACUGACGCUGAGAUGCGAAAGCGUGGGGAGCAAACAGGAUUAGAUACCCUGGUAGUCCACGCUGUAAACAAUGCUCACUAGGUGUAGGAGGUAUCGACCCCUUCUGUGCCGAAGCUAACGCGUUAAGUGAGCCGCCUGGGGAGUACGGCCGCAAGGCUAAA